rnacentral:tRNA from 1 species
ACCCCAUGGUUAGCUCAGUUGGUAUAGCGCUCCAUUGGGAAUGGAGAUGUCCCGGGUUCGAUACCCGGACCAGGCG